AAUAAAUACAACAAUAAGUUUUCGUAUCCAACUUUAAUCAUCCAUUUUAUUUAAUUUUUUUUAUGAUUAGUAUUUCUAUUGUUAUUAGAUUAUAAAACAUGAAUAGUAUUUUAUGCGUGACUUAUGUUUUUUUAGCUUUCUCAAAAAAAAUUAAAUAAAAUGAAUAAUCAAAGUUGGACACGGAAUUGACUCAUGACUGUGUUUAUU
rfam:Oryza glumipatula chromosome 11, whole genome shotgun sequence.